GCGGAGGUGAACUGAUCUACUCUGAGCUCCUGCUGCAGUGACAUGAACAAACCCAAAGGGAAGAGACUUGGAAUUCUCCAAAGCAAAGCCUGACCAUUGAACCCAUAAGAAGCUGCUGGUUCCAUCCAUUCAAGGAGGAAGAGUGGGGACACGUGCAAUCAACAAAGAUUCCUCCUUUUUACCAAUGCUUCAUUCUUACAUCUAUUCCAGAAUGCUCCAGGCCAGUGGUUCUCAACCAGGGGCUCCUCGAAGUGUAUGCUGCAACAACUUGGUCACCUUCUAAAUGCCUGAAGUCAUAUUUACUGAGACUCACACUCAUCGACCCAUGUGUAACUUACACCACCAUCCCUUGC